AGCAUUCCUUCACCUUAAAAUAGAUAAGCCCUACAAGGUAGCCUUGAUGCAAAGAACUUGGAACAACAGAAGACUUAUCUGAUCUAGGAUACGACGCCCUAGUAAAGUCAGGGGAUUCAUUAAAAAGACCAACACAUGACUUGAGGAAGUAUGAUCAGAGAUAAAAGUGGAGUUCGAAUCCAAGUUCUAUUUCCAUCCAACUGGUUUAGGUCAAAAUAUCUCCCGCCAACAAGUCGGCAUAGUCGCUUACCUCAAAU
rnacentral:misc_RNA from 1 species